rnacentral:lncRNA from 1 species
AGUUCUUUCUCCAUUUUAGGGACAACUGGAUGUGGAUGUGAAACCACCUCAAGCAUAUUUGUUAAAGGUUUAUCUAGUUUCACAUCUUUUCGUUGGCCUUUGUUAUCCACCACUUUGAAAGGACAAAAAUCCGCACGUUCCUGGGUAUCCCUUACAGGGUCAGAGGUGACUGUAUGAGCCUGUGGGUCUUCACAGUGGGAGGCAUCGGGUGGAUCUUGUGAGCUGGGUUGCCUUGCUGUGGUGCUUUCGGACUCGCUAACUAUGUUAUCACACAGUUUUGCAACCAAAUCGCCACUAGAAGUCACUGUGUUCUGUUGACAUGCAGAGUCUGCACAAAGUUUAUCGUCUCCAGUUGUAGAACAAAUGGCUGGAAUCACCACAGAAUUCUGAUCUACUGGAGCAUCAGCACUCUCCUCACGACUUCGUGAAGUUUCCGUUUCUGCUGUUUUUUCAGUGGAGGUUUCUUCAUUACUAAAUGCAAGUGAAGACUCAGCAGGUUUGUUACCAUCCAGGGAACUGGCAGCAGGGGCACAGUUUGGAACACUGAUUUUAUCCACAGGCUUACUUGUGACGUGCACGUCAGAGGCUCCAGCUGUGCCAAUAUUAGAGUUCUCAAAUCUUUCCUUUGUACUUUCCCCUCCCUGAAGCACAUUCUUCCAAACAGUGGCAUCUGGGUUCAUGAGCCCAUGUUCCAUUUCCCCUGCAGUGUCUGGGGUACUGACAUUUGUUGUUGAAAUGCCUCCCAGUUCACCUCCAGAGGAAUACUGGGCUGUGCCUGGCUCCAUGACCAAGUCUCUCUGAAGCACAGCAUCUCCACUGCUCAGGGACUCCUGGUCUGUGGGCAUUCCAGAAGAUUUUGUUCCAGUUUCUUCAUUUCUGUUUCCACAGGACGAAAGGCCUUCCGUGCCCUUUACUCCACAAUCAGGCAAGCUCUGAAGGCAGCUGUCUUGAUCAGAUACAGUUCCAGAGUCCACAAUAGGUGCUGGCUCCACCUCUUCCCCUUUUCUUUCCACGCCUUUAUUUUUCUUCCUACAGGAACGGUCUGUAUUCUCCUCCUCAACUAUGCUUGACAAAUCACAGGGACUUUCAGUCUGUGCAACAGGGCUCCCUGGGCAGCACUGAGUGCUCUCAGUCUCUUCAGAAGAAGAAAGUCGCUGAGGG